CAGUUGUCCAGGAUGCAGGUCCUGCACCAGGCUGCACAUGUAUCACAUCAUGAGCUCUGAGAAUGGAGCCUGAGAAGCUACAUCUUAACAGGUGUGACAACCAUCGGGAACUGAGAUGAUGCCUGCUCUAUUCACUGCUGUACUUGCUAAACCUGGUGGAAUACCUAGUACAUAGAGGUGUUCAGUGAAAAAUGGGCCGUGGAAUGACAGAAGGACAAAUCAACAUGCCGCCUCAUGGCUUUCAUAGGUAGGGCAGAGUCAGAGGUCUGGUACCUUCCUUUCCUUACAUACUUCAUAUACAAGUUGUUCUCUCCUCUCUUCUCUUUCCUUUGGGUACUAUAUUUUGAGUCAUCCUGACUUGAUCUUCUACAGAGACUUUUUGAGGCCAGAAAAAGGUGGACCCUGGGCCCUCUUCCUGCUGGAAAAAGCUCAGCCUACAAACUCAAGUUAUAUACAGCAGCUCUCAGUCCUGGCUGCGCUUCAGAAUGCCCUGAAGCUUGGCCUCCGCCCUAUAUAAAUUAAAUCAGAAUCACUGGAAUUGAGGUAUAGGUAUUGGUGUUUUCCAAGUGUUCCCCAAGUGAUUCUGUUGCAUAGUGAGGUUGGGAACCUCCAGCGAACAGUAAUGAGGAUACCUCUAAAAACCCCAGUGUUGAGUGCAAAAGGUGGAAAGCGAUUUAUAGCUCAAUACCAUUUGAGGAUAUUAAAAUUUAAUAUGCACACAAAGCAAAGUUGUGUAUUUUUCAGAGAUACUAAAACUUCUAAGGACACAGGUGAAAUUCCAUGGAGGAAGAAAGGAGAGGGGAGUUAGAGUGAUAAUGGAGAAUAAAUGGGGAAAUAUAAAAUAAAAUGAGCAAGGUCUUGCACAGAACUUCCAGCCAUAAACUGAGAAGUAUGGCUUCCAAAUAUUAAAUUUCCAUAGUUAGUCUGCAUGGAGAGGUCGUGCGUACCGCACUCAGUGUAACUGAUUUAUGUGUCUUCGCUCUGCUAAUCCUGGUAGCAAUUAUGAGAUAGGGAUUAUUAUUUCGAGUUCUUUAGAGAGUUUAAGAAUAUUAACAAGGGUUGCACAACUAGAAAGUGGUACAGUGGGUGUAAGUCCUGUCUACUGGGUCAGAGUCAUGGCCCUUUAUCUCCAUCACUGCUCCCUCGGGUGCUUGGGAGCUGCUGGAGAGAAAGCAGCCAGUCUGUCCAAAUGGUCCCUUGCCAAGAACGGGGAACAAGAACGACCACCCAGGGCUCCGUGUAUGAGAAGAAAGGGCCUGCGCAGGACCUUCACACAAUUUGGAAGCCCCCGAGAUUAGCCUCGGUGUCCUCACGAGGCCAGCAAUGUUUGUUUGGUUCUAGGCGCAGACAGAAUCCUCAUCGGUGGAACAGAAAAAAGAGGAUGAUGGGGUGCGAGGUGGGGCACAGAGGGUGGAGGACGGAAGGAAACAACAGUGCUCCCCACUUCCCACAGGGAACUUCCUCUCCUCACACACUCAGGGUGUGGAAAAUGGUAAUUUCAUAUCCAUCGCUCACAGCACCUGUCUCUGGAACCAGUUCAGAAAUCUUUGAAAUUAAUUGUAACAAUAGUACAUUUAUGGAGGCAGGUGCAAAUAUUAUUACGCAAGAGGCAUAGAGGAGGAGCCUGAUCAAGAUUUUCCUAGGAGGAAGUGAAGAGACCGGAAGGGUAUGCUCUUCUUAUCCGGGUUGGCGCCCUCUGGGGGUGAGUUGAGUCUCUGCUGCCCCUCUCCACUCCCAUCUGGACAUCCAAGUUUCCAGGUCGAGUUCUUUACCUUAAAAGCUCCCUCAGCAUCCACGCAUGUGCGCUGUCCUCUGGGGUGCACUCACGGGGCUGGGACAGAGGUCAGCUCGGCCGGCUCUUGGUAUCUGCUGUGGAUGCAGCUGCUCCGGAGUAAGCGGACCUCUCUCCUCCUUUCCUGAAAACGCCUCCCGUGCUACCCCGCCAGGGUCUGCAGUCACCUCGUGGGCUAUGGCUUACAGGCUUUGGUUAAAAUACAGGUCUCUAACCUCAGGCAGCUGAACAGAAUAGGGGAGUUCCUCAAAUUUCACUGUGCGUACAACUCAGCUGGAAAACUUACUGAAAAAGGCAGAGUCUUGGGUCCCCGUGGCACACGUCCUGGCGGAAGACACAGAGCUGCAGUUCCAGCCAGCGCUUCAGGGACUCUGAUGCCGGUAUUCCCUGAAUUCCAGUUUGGGAAAUAACCGCUUCUGCAGGACCUUGUCACCUUUCAUCAGUGCAAGAGACUCUCCGUGCAGACGCCUGGCUGAGCACUUGGCCCCGGGGCACGAGGCGCUGCUUCGCCUCCCACGCGGUCUUUGUCCAUGUAGAGCCGAGGCCCGGCCGGGGCGCUGCAGGUGGCAGCUGGCGUCCUCACUCAGGGCCAUCUGCGGACCGCUGGCCCUGCCUCCGUUUACAGCGAGGGGAGGCCUGCUGGAACCUCAGGACCCCGCACCGGCGUUCGACUCAGCCUUGCGGGCUUGCUCAGGCCCUGAAGGGGAAAGGAGAAAGUGACGUCUUGCAUUGCGCUGCACCUAGGGCACAAGCCAGGAGCCUGCUCUGCUCACACCUGCGGGAUGGAGGAGCAUCAGCAGCUCCGCAGUAUCUGUGGGUGACAGAUUUAUUUGAAGACACAUCCAAUACACACCUGGAGUGCAGAUGUUGGCUUUUUAUAGACUCCAAGUUCUUGAGCCUACAGGAGUUGCCCUGUCCUGAGAAAUGAUGAGAUUCUUCAUCAUGAGAAGUCUCCAUAGCAUGUCAGUCCCUUUUCAUGGACACCUCACACCUUCAAACGAAUUUCAAGAACAUCGUCUUCACGUCUUCUCCCCAGAACCCUAGAAGUAAAUGCUCCCUACAUCUGCAACCCCACUUGACUGAUGAAAAAUUAGUGCCGAAGAAGUGUACGUGCUGCAUGAGGCUGACACAGGCCCAAGGACUGAAGCAUAGAUCUGCUCAGGCCAAGACUUCAUUUCUCUGUGAGGUUGGAGCUUCUUUGCCUUGGAAACGGAGCACUGUAACCUCCCACUCCUCUUCGCAGGGUAGACAUGAAAAAAUUUGUCCUUUUUGGAAAAAGAAAAAUCAAAUAAACAAACAAAACACGUAAAACACACGACUCAAUACUAAUGCAGGUCUUCAGUCCCGAACCCAGACACAAGUGUGCCACAGGGCAGACGUGGAAAGAAGCCUCAGAAAAACUCGGUUGGAGUUGUCUCUAAGGACUCUGAGCUAAGUAGGCUGAACCCAAGGAGGAAGUGAAAUCUUUUCCCAGGAUUUCCCCGGAGAGGAAACUGGAAGAUUGAGAGUCGGUGAGAAAUAACAGAUACUUUACCAAGUGUUUAAUUAGGAAUAGAGCAGUGGUGGGUGUAGAAGAGUUUUAUUUCUUAAUUUUUCAUUUUUUGGG